UGUAUUUUUGUUUAUUUUUAACUUUUAAUUUCACAAGAUGCUAACCAAUGGACUAGAGUCGUGUGUAUUACUUGUGGAUUAUUGUGAUGUUUU